AAAUGCGAUAAGUAAUGUGAAUUGCAGAAUUCAGUGAAUCAUCGAAUCUUUGAACGCACAUUGCGCCCGCCAGUAUUCUGGCGGGCAUGCCUGUUCGAGCGUCAUUACAACCCUCAGGCCCCCGGGCCUGGCGUUGGGGAUCGGCGGAAGCCCCCUGCGGGCACAACGCCGUCCCCCAAAUACAGUGGCGGUCCCGCCGCAGCUUCCAUUGCGUAGUAGCUAACACCUCGCAACUGGAGAGCGGCGCGGCCACGCCGUAAAACACCCAACUUCUGAAUGUUGACCUCGAAUCAGGUAGGAAUACCCGCUAAACUUAAGC
rnacentral:misc_RNA from 1 species